UGGUCGACAUAUUGUGAGUUUUUUUUUAGUGUGGAUGGUCUGACUAAGUGUCUAGUAGCUGGAGUCUUCAAAAUGAGUUUCUUAACUUUUGCAUUGAUUUUAUUACUGUUGUGUUCUAUAAAGGGAGGUUGGUGUUUCAUGCCAUGCAGUAUGUGUCCUAAAGAUGACGAUUUUUGCCCAACUUAUUGUGUGGAUGACUUUGAAUGGCAGUCCAUGAUUGGUCGAGCAGUUUGAUGUCAGACUAUGUAGACUGAACAGACAAUAUAGACAUCCAUAAAUGUACAUAGUCUUUCGUUUUUUCAAUGUCAACAAAUGAAAUAAACAUUUUUUUUAAAUCUC
rnacentral:sRNA from 1 species